AUUGAACGCUGGCGGCAGGCCUAACACAUGCAGGUCGAACGGUAGCAGGAAGAAGCUUGCUUCUUUGCUGACGAGUGGCGGACGGGUGAGUAAUGUCUGGGAAACUGCCUGAUGGAGGGGGAUAACUACUGGAAACGAUAGCUAAUACCGCAUAACGUCGCAAGACCAAAGAGGGGGACCUUCGGGCCUCUUGCCAUCGGAUGUGCCCAGAUGGGAUUAGCUAGUAGGUGGGGUAACGGCUCACCUAGGCGACGAUCCCUAGCUGGUCUGAGAGGAUGACCAGCCACACUGGAACUGAGACACGGUCCAGACUCCUACGGAAGGCAGCAGUGGGGAAUAUUGCACAAUGGGCGCAAGCCUGAUGCAGCCAUGCCGCGUGUAUGAAGAAGGCCUUCGGGUUGUAAAGUACUUUCAGCGGGGAGGAAGGGAGUAAAGUUAAUACCUUUGCUCAUUGACGUUACCCGCAGAAGAAGCACCGGCUAACUCCGUG
rnacentral:rRNA from 1 species